rnacentral:rRNA from 1 species
AGAAUCAACGCUGGCGGCGUGCCUAACACAUGCAAGUCGAACGAGAAAGUGGAGCAAUCCAUGAGUAAAGUGGCGCACGGGUGAGUAACACGUGACUAACCUACCCUUGAGUGGGGGAUAACCUAAGGGAAACCUGGGCUAAUACCGCAUAAUACCUUCGGGUCAAAGGAGCAAUUCGCUUAAGGAGGGGGUCGCGGCCGAUUAGUUAGUUGGCGGGGUAAUGGCCCACCAAGACUGUGAUCGGUAUCCGGCCUGAGAGGGCGCACGGACACACUGGAACUGAAACACGGUCCAGACUCCUACGGGAGGCAGCAGUGGGGAAUUUUGCGCAAUGGGGGAAACCCUGACGCAGCAACGCCGCGUGGAGGAUGAAGUCCCUUGGGACGUAAACUCCUUUCGAUCGGGACGAUUAUGACGGUACCGGAAGAAGAAGCCCCGGCUAACUUCGUGCCAGCAGCCGC